CUGAGCGCAUAUCUCAAAAAAUAUUAUUUCAGUACCGAUUCAGGGUGGAUCUGAAGACGUCACAGGAAAGAAAGCACCUGUCAGGAAAAUGAUACCUUGACAAAGUUCAGCAGUCGCCGGAAACCCCAGGGCACGGCGUAAAGCCACUCAGAUCCGGGGUCAGGCCAGCGUGGGUCCACCAGCUCAGCCAGGUCACGGUCAGUGAAGAAGCUGCUCCCGCGGCUGGAGGGGAAGUUCUUCUGGGUGACGUAGCGCGUGGUGAAGUGGGCGAUGCCCAGGAAGUCACAGGUGCCUCGGAUGUGACUCUUCUCCUGGGACGUGAAGCCUCGGUGUCCUUCUGAUUGGUGAUGUCGACCGGCUCUCCCCAGUCAGCUAGCAGAGAGAUGCCCACCAGCCCUGUGAAACACACACAUUUACCAUUAUGCUUUUGGAUCUUCUCCUCUCUGCGCAAGAUGAAGGUAUCCCCAUUCCUUACACUGACUCAAUGCUUUUUUUGCAUUUGUAAGCUCUGCAGCAAUGUUUGUGAAUAGUUCUCAUAAUUACCU